UUAGUUCUAUCACUUAUAUAGCAAGAAAUCCAAUCGGAACCCUUGAUCACUAAAUCUUUAGUUCUAUACAAAUCACCACGCUUCAUGGCCCCUUUGAGAAAUGUGUCAUGUAUACCAUAAAGGUUCGUAAAUAUGUGGUAUGUGGUCUUCAUCUUUCAAACCACCAAAAUAAGUUUUCUUUAAGAGGGGGAAGUGGUGGAGGUUGUGCAGUAUUAGCCUCAACACAGUAGCCCAUUGUAGGGAAAAGAAUCCUCUUCAUGGUUUUUACCUGAACUCGUGUUGACAGUUGACACGUUAGCCAACCCAUCCAACUUGUAUUGUUUGUACUCUUUCAAGUAGUAUAUUGUGGAAAAACAACAUAGCAUUCCUAGCUCUUUUUUU
rnacentral:lncRNA from 1 species